rnacentral:pre_miRNA from 1 species
AACCUACUCCCUCCGUCCGGAAAUACUUGUCGGAGGAAUGGAUGUAUCUAGAUGUAUUUUAGCUCUAGAUACAUCCAUUUUUAUGCAUUUCUACGACAAAUAUUUUCGGACGGAGGGAGUAUUUU